UGCUAAAAUGGCUGGUUUUCUUUUCUUUCUGUCUCUGUUUGCUCUGUCUCUGUUUGCCUGUGUCAAAAGUGACUGAGUGACUAAGGCAGAAACUCAAUAUAGGUAAACUACUAAACUUCAAUUCUGACUUCUGAACUUUAGGGUAGGCUAUAGCCUACCCUAGCCUUAUGCUAGCUACGCCCUUGA
rnacentral:lncRNA from 1 species